CCCUUAGAUGUUCUGGGCCGCACGCGCGCUACACUGACUGGUGCAACAAGUGUCGCUCCUUGGCCGAUAGGCCUGGGCAAUCUUUGAACGCCAGUCGUGAUGGGGAUAGAUUAUUGCAAUUAUUAAUCUUCAACGAGGAAUGCCUAGUAAGCGCAAGUCAUCAGCUUGCGUUGAUUACGUCCCUGCCCUUUGUACACACCGCCCGUCGCUCCUACCGAUUGAAUGGUCCGGUGAAGCGUUCGGACCGUGGCCUUUGGACGGUUCGCCGUCUGUUGGCUGCGGGAAGUUCGUUAAACCUUAUCAUUUAGAGGAAGGAGAAGUCGUAACA
rnacentral:rRNA from 1 species